AAGCAACCAGGAAUUAAGCAACAAAAUAGGCCCACGAAAUAAAGUGCUUGUCAAAUACCGGGCGAAAUAAACUACUAUCUUUUCGAGACCAGGGCAGGGGAGUAGGCUGAGGCAACAGAAAGUGCACCGAGGGUGAAGGAUUCACAUGGUCGCCUCCAAAUCUGGUUUUCCGGCCACGGUUCCCCUGCACCCGAGGGUGUCUGCACUGAGCCAGGGGCUGGGAAGCAGGAAGUGUCAUUCCAUCCAGAAGCGUGCGCACUGAGGUCCCGUACCAGCUGUGACCUUGACUUUCACUUCACUUCUAUCUUCUCCUGUAAACUACUGUAACUUCUCUGCCCAGUUCCCCUGUGAGCAACCGUAUGGCUUCCCGGCAUACCCCCGCGAGGAAAUUCCUGAAAGUCCACUAUUAGCCGCUCUUCCUGAGACCUGCUACUGAAUGCUAUACUCGGAGAGAUUCCAAAAUGAAAUCAGUAACAUCUUAGAGUGCCUGAGAAUAUGAUUCCUGGGGAGACCCUGAGCACCGAAGCACUGGUCGUCCAGCAGAGUGCGGAGGGUCCAGGCAGAGAGCAGGGCCUGGAGGCGCCGUUGGCCUUGAAUGGGCCCUGCGUGGUGGAAGAGGAGAAGCGGGUCCCCACCAGCAGAGUGCAAUGUCCCACCAGAGCGCGCCAGUCCCUUCCGGAGGAUGCACGGUAUUUGGGGGAGAACACCAGUACUGCCCGGGAACUGAAGGAAGAGGUCCUAGUCCCCCUGCCCUGCAAACCUGGCUGCCUGUCCUCAGGCGGGUCACCUCGUGGCUGGAUGAAGUUCUUUCAUCACUAAAAUGAGUGGCGCUAUGCUGGACACAACAGAACCAACCGUCUCCUCCCUCCUCUCCCCUGCAGGGAUGCCAGGUGUGGUAGCAGGAACAGUGGGUGUUCCGUCUGCUGACCUCAGAGCUGCUCUCCCUCUACUAAGCUGCAAACUCCUUACAAGUUAGGACCUUGCUUUAUUUCUUUGUUCCCCUAGCCCAGGGCCUAGGAGAGAUUAUGCCUGCAAUCAAUGAUAGUUGCAAAGACAUUUAAAGUAUAAAGCUUUCCAUGACCGUAAGAUAUUAUUUUUAUCUUUUUCACCCUAAAUAGCCCUUGCCAAGGCCUUUCAUAGAUAGUGUGGGAAACUCCAGAACUGAAAAAUCCAGCCCUUGUAAAACCUGUCUUGCUGUUUUCUCUUUUAAAAGAACAUGUUGCCUUUAUUGUCUUUUUUUAAGCCAAGAAUGAAAUAAAAGCUCUUU